AGGGAGCCAUCACAAUCCAGUAGUUUAGUUUGAGGCUAAUUAGAGGCUGUAUGGUAACUCAAAUUUCACUGUACCUUAAUUGGUGCAUGUGACAAAUAAAUAAUUUGAUUGAUUGAUUUGUAUUGAGUUAUUUGUGACACUGUAU